UACGAAGGGGGCUAGCGUUGCCCGGAAUCACUGGGCGUAAAGCGCACGUAGGCGGCUUUGUAAGUUAGAGGUGAAAGCCCGGGGCUCAACUCCGGAACUGCCUUUAAGACUGCAUCGCUUGAAUCCAGGAGAGGUGAGUGGAAUUCCUGGUGUAGCGGUGAAAUGCGCAGAUAUCAGGAGGAACACCGAUGGCGAAGGCAGCUCGCUGGGACGGUACUGACGCUGAGGCGCGAAAGCGUGGGGAGCAAACAGG
rnacentral:rRNA from 1 species